UACCAGCACCCCGAGUGGUCGGGACGAUUAUUGGGCCUAAAGCAUCCGUAGCCGGUCCUACAAGUCUUCCGUUAAAUCCACCUGCUCAACAGAUGGGCUGCGGAAGAUACUAUAGGGCUAGGAGGCGGGAGAGGCAAGCGGUACUCAGUGGGUAGGGGUAAAAUCCGCUGAUCCAUAGAAGACCACCAGUGGCGAAGGCGGCUUGCCAGAACGCGCUCGACGGUGAGGGAUGAAAGCUGGGGGAGCAAACCGG
rnacentral:rRNA from 1 species